AGCUUGGGCAUCGUCUUUUAAAGAAUGGGCUUAGAAAAACUUUAAAAGGGUUUUAAUAUUAUCCUAGUGCCUAAAGAUUUUAUAAGCCUCUUUUUGCUCUCUUGGAACUUAAAGCCACA
rnacentral:snoRNA from 1 species